GCAAACUUGGUCAUUUAGAGGAAGUAAAAGUCGUAACAAGGUUUCCGUAGGUGAACCUGCGGAAGGAUCAUUAGCAAAGCAUGGUGUGGCGCUGGUGUUGCGGUCGGUCCGUCCGGGUCGCGCCGCGACAGCCAGGCCAAAUCACAUUCACCCGGAGGCCGGUUGGUCUCGGGUCACAUGGACGGAAGCGUUGGUUUGUCGUGUCAUGUUGUUGGAAACACUAUGCAAAGACUUUUAACAAUGGAUCUCUUGGCUCCUGCAUCGAUGAAGAACGCAGC
rnacentral:misc_RNA from 1 species